GUUGAACGCUGGCGGCGUGCCUAAUACAUGCAAGUCGAGCGAAGCGGGGACGGGUGAGUAACACGUGUAUAACAUCCUAUAAGACUGGGAUUACUUCGGGAAACCGGAGGCAAUCCGGAUUCUUAGAGAUGGAUCCGCGCUGCAUUAGCUAGUGGGUAAGGUAACGGCUUACCAAGGCAACGAGGCAUAGCCGACCUGAGAGGGUGACCAGCCACACUGGAACUGAGACACGGUCCAGACUCCUACGGGAGGCAGCAGUGGGGAAUCUUCCGCAAUGGGCGAAAGCCUGACGGAGCAACGCCGCGUGGGUGAUGAAGGUCUUCGGAUCGUAAAGCUCUGUUAUCAGGGAAGCGGUACCUGAACAGAAAGCCCCGGCUAACUACGUGCCAGCAGCCGCGGUAAUAC
rnacentral:rRNA from 1 species